UCUCGGCUUAUCACCGGCAGUCCCCUUAGAGUGCCCAACUUAAUGCUGGCAACUAAAGACAAGGGUUGCGCUCGUUGCGGGACUUAACCCAACAUGUCACCACACGAGCUGACGACAGCCAUGCAGCACCUGUCUCUCGGUUGUAUUGCUACAAAAGACGUAUUUCUACGUUUGUCCGAGGAUGUCAAACCCAGGUAAGGUUUUGCGCGUUGCUUCGAAUUAAACCACAUGAUCCACCGCUUGUGCGGGCCCCCGUCAAUUCCUUUGAGUUUCAGUCUUGCGACCGUACUCCCCAGGCGGGAAGCUUAAUGCGUUAGCUGCGCCACCGACAAGUAAACUUGCCAACGGCUAGCUUCCAUCGUUUACGGCGUGGACUAC
rnacentral:misc_RNA from 1 species